AAUAACUUCCUUCAUAUUAAUUUUCACCUGCAAUGGAAGGCAUGAUUUUUUGCUUUCAUCAUCGAGCCGAAGAGAGCCGCUGCCGCAAGCUUGAUUGGAGACCAUCAGGAGAAGCAAAUGGAGCAGGCAGUGACCUUUCGACGGCGAAAAAAUACGGAUGCAACCAUCAGGUUUAUCUUGGCUCUACUAUGCUUAAUUAAGUGGCUCAGGUUCUCAUGAUUAUUGGGCCUUCUACGGGAUCAUGUUGCCA